ensembl:lncRNA
AUUUUGCUGGAGAUCCCUGUGUACCUGAGGCCUUCUAAAGAAAAAAAUAUUUAGCAAGACUUAUGAAGAUACAUGGCAUCGUUUUCAAAAACAUGGAGGGAAAAGAGAAAGGCAUGCUUUUUCCAAUAUGAAGAAUGGAAAGAGAAUUUUGAAACUGUUCUGUGUAAAACCUUGUCUUUGCAAGGAGGUACACAUCCCCUGACUGCAGGUGGAGGAAAACAUACUCAGAUCUUCAUAAAGCUACAUAGGUGAAACUGCACUGAAAAAAUAUCAAGUGGAAAAUUAACCUCAUAUAAACAACCAUGCUAGGAAUAAAAAUAAAAAUAUUAAAUGCUCUGCGUGUACAGAAAGGCAGCUUGGAUACUGGCCUGCACCAUUCAGUGUUCUCAGCAAAGACUAAUGUUGCAUUACAAUGAAUGUCACUUUAAUGAGGCAGAAAAAAUUGGUCCGAAGACAGCCUGCUGAAUUCAAUCACCUGCUUCACUUGACAUGAGAAACUAGUCACAGGACAUGCCAUACACAGCCCCAGCAGUGACAGUGCUCCCUGUAACAAUAUGAAGUUGCAAAAGAUUUCAACCUGUGAACUACUUCUACAGAUGAACAGAUCAUGUUUUAACAUGAACAAGCUCUAUUUGCUUUAUUGGGAAAAACAUGAAAUUGUGUUUAUCACCAUCAUCCUUUCCUUUUGGAAGGAGAAGAAGCCAGGCAAAUUUCUUGGGGAAAAUCUUGUGCGAGGCUUACCCUCCAGGACUACAUUAAAAAGCAAACAAAACCCAGUACGCUGCAAUUUGAGGACAGGACUCAAAGAAUUCAUAAAAGAAAUGAAAAUUGUCUUGAUUCAAUUUAUUUCUGAAUUCAGUGUAUCCUUUUAAGACCAGUAUUGGUCAUAGAUAUAUUCUGAUUAUAGCCAAGGUUUUACCCUAAUAAUUAUCAAUCAUAUAUAGCAGCUUAAAUCUGUACCUUUUUCCAGUAAAGCUGUAACCAUGUAUACAGCAAAAGAAGAAAUUGCAAUAGGAGCAACAGAAAUCUGUCACUGUAGCAGUGUAGGUGGCUCUUAAUUCUAACAAAAAUGCCAUGUGUUAUGACGUACACGUGUAAACUAUGCCACUGUACAGAUGAAUAAAGUCAAUAUAUUACUGAUUCAGUG